rnacentral:ncRNA from 2 species
AAUAAAGAUAGAGGUUGCAGAUGAUCAUUAGUAGGAAAAUAGAGGGCCGGCCAGCUCAGUGAAGUUUUCUAAAAGGGAGAUCUGCCGAAAUUCAUUCUCUGUGCCGGGAGAGUGGGUUGGGGCAUCGGAAAAUAUCCGUUGUACUGUCGUUGUCUAUACCAAGACAAUGGAGUGCUAUCUUACCG